ACGACACGUAGAUGGCACUAUACAGAUAACGGUUAACUCAAAGUGUUUUGUUUCGUUCUUAUAUGCUAAUUUUUAAGGUUAGGAAUUCAAAUUCUUAAUGUCCUAAGAUUGAACGUUAAAUACUAUAACAUUUAUAUCGAAUUUUAUAUCUGUUAAAUUAAUUUGAAAAUGAGAUAUUCAAAUAAAGUAAAUAAUAGAGAAAAUAAAAAUAUAUAAUAUAGUAGCAUUAAAAUAGGACGCCAAUGAUACUUUGUGUAUGUAGUAAUAUACUAUUUAAAUAUUAAUUGUAUUAAGUUUGCGAAAUGAAUAUUGUAUGUGUGAUAUGCAGUGAUCUAUUAACACCUUCUGAUGAUGUUUUUCAUACACCUUGUGGACACAUUUUUCAUUUUAUCUGUGUAACUCAAUGGUUGGAGAGAUCCAAAACCUGUCCACAAUGUAGAGAAAAGACUACAUCAAGUAAAAUUCAUAGAUUAUAUUUUAAUUUUUCCAAUAACGAUACCAUUGUGGAGGAUAAAUGCUCUUUACAAGAUAAAGUUGAUAAAUUAAAUUUUCAACUUGUGUUAAAAGAAAAAGAUAUUAAACAUUAUUCAGAAAAGAUUGAAACAUUAGAGAAACAGAAUAAGGAGUUAAAGAAGGAAGUAAGAAAAGUGGAAAGUGAAAUAAGUGAAAAAUGUAAUGCUAUUUAUGCUCUUAAAGAACAAAUUAAAUUAUUUAAAGAACAAAGUUUAGAAGCAGAAAGCAGAAGAAAAGAAAUAGAGCAAUUGCGAAAGAAAAUUGAGCAUUAUAAAAAUGUACAAACCAUACUUGAUGGUACUACAGAAGCUGUAGAUGAGAUGAUCUCAAGAACAACUGAACCUACUACGCUUAUUACAUACAUAUCUGUGAUGAAAAGAGAGAUAACAGUUAGCCAAAAUAAAAGAAGAGAAUUAAGGUCCAAACUAAAAAGUGUACAACAAGAACUUACUAAGGUUUCUAUGGAACGAAAUUUCCUGUCUGAUGAACAUACUAAAAGGAAAACACUUGAAAAUGAAUAUCUGACUUGUCUAAGUGAAAAAAUGUCUUUACAAAAUAGACUUAGCGAGUUAGAAAAAGAUAUGUCUUCGACACAAAAGCCAAUUAAGUUCUAUUCAAAAACAAAGAAUAUGACAGAGGGUAAUUUUGGAAAUGAUUCUAGAGAAGAUAAAAUUGAAUGUAUAAAUAAUAGCAUAAAUGAGAAAAAGGAUAUAGGACAAAAAGAGAAAAUUGAAUCUGCUAUUACAAAAAAUAAAACAAGUUCUCCGUAUCUUCCAGUGAAAUCAGGAGGAGUAUUUGCUUUAACACAAAUGUCUCAGAGAUAUACUACAUCAAAAUUAACUUCCUCAAUCUUGGCAAAAAAACCAAGACUUGAGCAAGGAAUCAGUAAAAAUGAAAAUAGUAGAAUUACAUUUGAUGGUUUUGGGGGGCAUUCAAAAUAUGAGGAGUUCCCUAAACCUUCUGCUACCAAAAUGAAAAAAGUUAAGGAUAUUCCAAAAGUUAAAAAGCCAAAACUUGAUACAGACAAUCCGAAAAUAGAUUAUUUUUUAGGAAAUUAACAUGAUCAUUGCAUAUUAUUAAUGUUUAUAAAUAGCAUUUAAGAAGAAGAAAAAUAAGGUAUUAUGUGGCAAAUAUAUUUAUUGAAAGAGUGAACAUGUUAGAAAUUGUGGAGAAGUAAAAAUUCCUGCAUACAUAAACUAAAGUACACCUCAAAAAAAGAAGGACAAAUAAACACAAUUCUAUAUGUUAUUAUGUGGGUUUAGUUAUACUGUGUGAAAUUCUAAAAGUCGAUAAUUUGUUAUUAAUUUGUUACAUCACAUUUGAGUUUUUCGUAAUCAUGUCGGUAAGACGUCGGUAUACGACAUCACAAAUGUCACGUACUGACAAGAUAUGUGUUGCUAUCUAUGGAAGACAGAAGGAACCGUAACUUGAAGCACGUCAGGAUAGAUGGUAACAUGGCUGUCCAUAGACUAGAAAUGCAGUACUGUGCGAUAAGGUAUGUGUUGCCAUCUAUGGAAGACAGAAGGAAUUGCAAUUUGCAACAUGUCAGGAUAGAUAGCACACAUGGCUGUCCAUAGAUCAGACAUGUAAUACCGUGUGAUAAGGCAAGUCCUUUCCGGUAUAUGUCCAUUCUAUCGGCUUACGUAUUAUCUGCGAUAAUUCGUAUGUUCGCCUUAGGAAAUCGGUAUUUUAUAAUUUUAGAUACAAAAUUCUAUUGUCACGUCUAUGUCACGUGCACUCUGCCUUUAAUGAAUAAUUGUGUAUACUUUAUUGAAUUCAAUUUAUCGAUGGUUGAAUGAUAUCAUGACUACAUUAUCGGUAAUGAAAUGUUUAGCUGGUGACCCUGCAUUAGGCGUAUGAGACAAGAAAACAUUGUGAAUAAAAAUUUAGAAUAAUUCUACUGUACGAAUUUUUAAAUUUUUAAAUUGAUAAUUCUUAUAAAUCUGGUAAUAAAAUUAUUUAGUUGUUAAA